CUUCAUUACUUUGCACAUCAUUACAAGGCCUCCAAGACCAAUUGGCCGAAUUAGGUUAGAAACAAAAGGAAACGACAGUUACAUUACCUAACCCAGUAUAAAGCCAAUAGGCUCCAAGAAGCUAAGCAAGGGCUGUAGAACCUUAUGUUGUCGGCAGCACCACUACCACGCGCCGCCACUUUCAUUAUGGCGCAAGCCUUAACAAGAGUGGAUCUUAAACGGAAAGCAUAAGCUUGAAGUAGCCCGAAGGAAGAAGACCCACAACGCAGCCGCCCAUCCACCACGCAUGGUAGCGCACUUCUACUCUGCUUUUCAGUGACUCGUAGGAGAAGAAACAGAGGAGGAAAAAGCCCCAUAAACAUCUCAAUCUCUUAUAGUUAAAAGGGCAGCCUUUAACAUUCCGGCCAGCUUCUCAAGAAAACAUAAUCCAACCACAAAAUGGAUUAUAAAAAAAAGCCAAUGGUACACCAUCUCAUAGCAUAAGAAAUUACCAUAACCACACCCAGCAAUCAAAUAUUAUUUAAAAAACUAUUUUAAAAUUACAAUUGAAUUUACAUACCCACAAUAACAUUCCCUCCGGCGACACUAUUACUGGCCGGCCGGUGGCUAAAUUUCAAUUCUAAAAUCACAUAGAGACACAGAAACUUAUUAUUUUUUUCCCAUUUCCAAAUUCAUAUCUUGUCCAGCUUUUCUGCCUUGACCACAGGAUUGGCCUUGGCAAUCUGCUCUUUGCCCAUAGCCUUAAAAUCAAAGCUACAACCAUGCUGCUCCGGGUACCUGUGGCUUCCACAGAAUACCAUCCCACACCUGCACUUAAAUCCCGUUAGCCCCACGCGCUUCCUGCACGUCAAGCACCUGUUUGGCCGCACCGCCGUUGUCUCCUCAUUCUUAUCAUCCACCACUGUCGCCGCCGAUGCAAGCUGAUUGCUGCUGACCUCAGGCAGAUCAACGACCACAGGAGACAAAAUAGAAACAGAGGCGGUCGAAGAUGAGGAAGACGAUGAUGAUGACGUCGAUGAUGUGGUGGAGGUUUGGGUUUGGUUCAAGACGAGCUUGACGUUGGAGGAUUGCUGCUCUUUGAGUUGGAGAUCUCGGUAGCACUUGGAGCAGAGGUUUUGGGUCGCCGGACUACCGAAGAAUCCACAGUUGUUAACGCAGAGACGCUGCGCUGGGUAUCUAUGUUCUUCCGCCAUUUUUAUCCCUUCAAUUCCUCUCAAAUCUAGCCAAAAAAUGAAAAAACCCCACAAAAUUAGCUUCAAAAUCAGAGAAAUUUGAACUCAAUUCAUCAUAGCAGGAAAAGAAAAACAAUUUCUUAUACCUGAUUUGCUCUGAUUAUGGGGAUUUUCACAAGGGAGGAAAAUGAAAGAAAAUUAGAUAAGAGGAAAGAAAAGGAAAGGAAUCUGUGGUUGAAGAGAAUGGAAUCAAUCAAAGACUGAAAAUUUAUAAAUACAAAUGAAACCCAAAAGAAAAGCACCUCCAGAAAGCUCCAAUAUAAGGAAAAGGAGAAGAAAGGAGGGCGAUUCCUUUGGCCCUUUGCCUAAAGAUUCCACCAACCUUCUUGCUUUCUCUCUGUUUUUUAAUUUCUUUACCUUUCUUUUCUACCAAACAGCCGCU
rnacentral:misc_RNA from 1 species